UACGUAGGGCGCAAGCGUUGUCCGGAAUUAUUGGGCGUAAAGAGCUCGUAGGUGGCUUGUCGCGUCUGCCGUGAAAGCCCGGGGCUCAACCCCGGGAGGCGGGUGGAUACUGCUGAGCUCGAGUCCGGAAGAGGAGUGUGGAAUUCCUGGUGUAGCGGUGAAAUGCGCAGAUAUCAGGAGGAACACCAAUGGCGAAGGCAGCACUCUGGGACGGUACUGACGCUGAGACGCGAAAGCGUGGGGAGCAAACAGG
rnacentral:rRNA from 1 species